UACGGAGGAUGCAAGCGUUAUCCGGAUUUAUUGGGCGUAAAGCGUCCGCAGGUGGUUUUCCAAGUCUGCUGUUAAAGCGCGAGGCUUAACCUCGUACAGGCAGUGGAAACUGGAUGACUAGAGUAUGGUAGGGGUAGCGGGAAUUCCCAGUGUAGCGGUGAAAUGCGUAGAUAUUGGGAAGGACACCAGCGGCGAAAGCGCGCUACUGGGCCAUUACUGACACUCAUGGACGAAAGCUAGGGGAGCGAAAGGG
rnacentral:rRNA from 1 species